rnacentral:rRNA from 1 species
UACGGAGGGAGCUAGCGUUGUUCGGAAUUACUGGGCGUAAAGCGCACGUAGGCGGACUAUUAAGUCAGGGGUGAAAUCCUGGAGCUCAACUCCAGAACUGCCUUUGAUACUGAAGAUCUUGAGUCCGGGAGAGGUGAGUGGAACUGCGAGUGUAGAGGUGAAAUUCGUAGAUAUUCGCAAGAACACCGGUGGCGAAGGCGGCCAACUGGACCAUUACUGACGCUGAGGCGCGAAAGCGUGGGGAGCAAACAGG